rnacentral:rRNA from 1 species
GAUAACCAUUGGAAACGAUUGCUACUACCGCAUACUGCCUUCGCGGCCAAAUUAUGGGGACCUUCGGGCCUCUCGCGUCAGGAUAUGCCUACGUUGGAUUAGCCUAAUUCGUGAGGUAAUGGCUCACCCAUCGCUGACGACUCCCUAUCGUGGUCUGAAGGAUUAUCAGCCACAUUUGAACUGAGCCAUGAUCAAAACCUCACUACGGGAGGCAGCAGUGGGGAAUAUUGCACAAUGGGCGCAAGCCUGAUGCAGCCAUGCCGCGUGUAUGAAGAAGGCCUUCGGGUUGUAAAGUACUUUCAGCAGUGAGGAAGGGGUGUACGUUAAUAGCGUGCAUCCUUGACGUUAGCUGCAGAAGAAGCACCGGCUAACUCCGUGCCAGCAGCCGCGGUAAUACGGAGGGUGCGAGCGUUAAUCGGAAUUACUGGGCGUAAAGCGCAUGCAGGUGGUUCGUUAAGUCAGAUGUGAAAGCCCGGGGCUCAACCUCGGAACUGCAUUUGAAACUGGCGGGCUAGAGUACUGUAGAGGGGGGUAGAAUUUCAGGUGUAGCGGUGAAAUGCGUAGAGAUCUGAAGGAAUACCAGUGGCGAAGGCGGCCCCCUGGACAGAUACUGACACUUAGAUGCGAAAGCGUGGGGAGCAAACAGGAUUAGAUACCCUGGUAGUCCACGCCGUAAACGAUGUCUACUUGGAGUUGUGGCCUUGAGCCGUGGCUUUCGGAGCUAACGCGUUAAGUAGACCGCCUGGGGAGUACGGUCGCAAGAUUAAAACUCAAAUGAAUUGACGGGGGCCCGCACAAGCGGUGGAGCAUGUGGUUUAAUUCGAUGCAACGCGAAGAACCUUACCUACUCUUGACAUCCAGAGAAGCCAGCGGAGACGCAGGUGUGCCUUCGGGAACUCUGAGACAGGUGCUGCAUGGCGUCGUCAGCUCGUGUUGUGAAAUGUUGGGUUAAGUCCCGCAACGAGCGCAACCCUUAUCCUUGUUUGCCAGCGAGUAAUGUCGGGAACUCCAGGGAGACUGCCGGUGAUAAACCGGAGGAAAGGUGGGGGACGACGUCAAGUCAUCAUGGCCCUUACGAGUAGGGCUACACACGUGCUACAAUGGCGCAUACAGAGGGCAGCCAACCAGCGAUGGUGAGCGAAUCCCAAAAAGUGCGUCGUAGUCCGGAUUGGAGUCUGCAACUCGACUCCAUGAAGUCGGAAUCGCUAGUAAUCGUGAAUCAGAAUGUCACGGUGAAUACGUUCCCGGGCCUUGUACACACCGCCCGUCACACCAUGGGAGUGGGCUGCAAAAGAAGUAGGUAGUUUAACCUUUCGGGGAGACGCUUACCACUUUGUG